rnacentral:lncRNA from 1 species
CUACUUCUCCGAAUUUUUCAGGAAUUUUUUACAUCGUACCUCAUCUCACAAUUUGUUCACGCAGAAAGCUUUGAUGCGUCUAUUUUGAAAUAGUAUUAGGAACAUAUCUUAUUACUGUUCAAACUUUAGUGCUGUUUCAAUUCCAGUUUCUCCUGCGCUGGCUGAUCUGGUAAAUCCCUGAGGAAUUCGAUUUGUCUUGCAAAUUUUGCACUCCUUGGCAUUUGCUAUUGCUCGUCACGUUGUGCAAUUCUUUUCAUCAACUUCAUCCACGUGGUUUCCUAAGCGGAAAGAAUCUUCUGUAGACGCAAACGCGUAAGAAAUUUCAAACUUUUGCAGCAGUAGACUGUAAACCCAUAACUACAUAAAUUGUUGUACACAAGCUCUUCUUAGAUUUUCUUCAAUCUAAAUAUCUGCCCACAACUAUCAUUUAAAGGUUGGUUUUUAAGUGUUCUGGGGUUUCUGAAUUGUCAGAAGCAGACAAAAAAUACUUUGUACAGCCUGAGGAGAACUGAGGAUGGUUGAAGACUGAUUUUUGUUAUCAUAUAAACUUGUUCACUCGUCUCAUCUUGGUUUCUUCACUAAAAGGCUCCAAAAAGUCCGGUGUGAGAAAAUUGCAGACAACAUAAGAACAACUGACCCCGCCACAGUUCAGCAGAAAACACUCAUUCGGGUAUAAUUUCUAAAAUAUCGGGCUUCAGAAUUAAUUGUAGAGGUACCAGCACAUCUGGAAUUGAGAGUUAGUUGUUCUGAAAUUUAUAAAAAAGAACGACAAAACUCACAUCAUUGACUAAGCUGUAUCAAUUUUAUUUUAUAGCUUCUGAUAGCUCAGGGUUGUUUUAGUGUAACCUGAUGAUAUAAGAGUUUAUAAUUUUGUGUUGAUUGGUCCUCUGUAUCCAUUAAAUUAUCAUUUUCUAAUCGGAGCUCUUUUUAAGGUUUAAAUAACUCUCCUAGGCUCUGCCCUUUUGUGAGAAUUUACGAAGUUUAAUAUCUAGAAUUUGCAUUCAACGUAUUACU